rnacentral:lncRNA from 1 species
CUUGAAACUCCUCCACGGCGGGGGCUGGUGGAGACCCUUGAAACUCCUCCCCCUUCGCUUUGAGGGUGGCUGGCCUGGUGGGGCCAGUCCCGUGGCGUCGGCCGGGUGCGCUGGCUCUCGCGAGGUUUGGGCGCAGAGCAUUGCGGCUCGGAGCGGCGCCAUUUUGGGAGCGAGGCGAGUUGUGUGUGUGAAGAAGCGGCAAAAGGAGCUUUCAAAUCCGAGACCCGCCGCUCUCCGUCUGCCGCCGCCGGGACCCGCCAGCCGGGCAGUUUGGAUUACAGAGGCUGUCCUGGUGGAUAUUUGGAGUCUUUUGCUUCAGUUUGUUGUGAAGGGGGAGUAAGGUGGACAUUGACCUUCAGCCUUUGCUUCUGUUUAAGAGGAAAAAAUAACUGGACAUCGACCUGGAAUUAUGAUUUGUUCAAUUGCUUCCUACUCAAAAGGCUUUUGAAGUUGUCAGAAGACAUCUAAGAAAUAAAUUGAAAGCUUGCAGAGUCUUGGAUUUUUCUACUCCAAAAGUAGGAGACAACUCACCCGUGGACACUUUUGGCCACGUGGAAUGGAUAAUUGAUUUAAUUUCUUAAGAUCUGCAUACUUCUCAUGUGAAAAUUAAAGGGGUUUUUCUUUUUCUUCUAGUUAAAAAUUCACAGGCUAAGAUACCUGUGAGUCAUAUGCAUAACUAGUUUUGUCAACAGGUUUUAGAUUACAUUUAAUGUAAUCUUUGGUUACUGUUUAAACACUGCUGAAAAGUUUCAUGGCAGAUAUUUUUACCUUUAUUUUAUUUUUUAAGUAUUCUGACACUGCCUUUUUUUACUUUGCAAUGCAACCUAUUUUCUAAAUGAAGAGACUAAUAGAAUUUUCCUUUUUCUUUUUAUAUUUCUUUUGAGGGUUUUUUUUUUGUAAAAUGUUGCCAACAAUCAAUAUGGUUGUAUCCAGAUAGCCAUUGUCUGCAGAGGCCUCUCAGAUCUGAAGUUCAGAAAUGUUCUUCAUUUCACAUGUGAAAUUUGUUUUUUCAGUUUUACUCUUGGUGUCAUAAAAGGUAUAUUUAUUUCAUCAGGAGCUGAUGGUCAUUAUAGUGAGAUGUACAUGGAAUAGUAAAGAGAAGAGGCUGCAAAAAGAUAGAACAAGCUUCUUAAAUCAAACUUGGCAAAUUUUGGAAAUAGCUUUGUGAAGUCUAAAUAAGAAGGAUGGGUAGCUGAUUUCUAAGAGGUGAACUCUGUCAAAUAGCUACUGAUGUAGUAUCUUCAAGGACUCUCAUUGGCUGUUAUUUCAAGGAAAGCAAACUGGAAAAUACAAAUUACACAGAACUAACACCUUGUACAGUCCUCUUGGAUUUUGUAAGUAUUGCACUGUGCAUGAAUCAAUAUACACUUGAAUAAGCUGUCCCAUCAGCAGAGGCAUAAAUAAUAUU